UGAGGAAUAUUGGUCAAUGGGCGAGAGCCUGAACCAGCCAAGUCGCGUGAAGGAAGACAGUCCUAAGGAUUGUAAACUUCUUUUAUACGGGAAUAACGGGCGAUACGAGUAUUGCAUUGAAUGUACCGUAAGAAUAAGCAUCGGCUAACUCCGUGCCAGCAGCCGCGGUAAUACGGAGGAUGCGAGCGUUAUCCGGAUUUAUUGGGUUUAAAGGGUGCGUAGGUUGUUCGGUAAGUCAGCGGUGAAACCUGAGCGCUCAACGUUCAGCCUGCCGUUGAAACUGCCGGGCUUGAGUUCAGUGGCGGCAGGCGGAAUUCGUGGUGUAGCGGUGAAAUGCAUAGAUAUCACGAGGAACUCCGAUUGCGAAGGCAGCUGGCCAUACUGCGACUGACACUGAAGCACGAAGGCGUGGGUAUCAAACAGG
rnacentral:rRNA from 1 species